GAUCAUAUAAUGACAGGUUAUGACAAGUUGUGUCAGCUGUUAUGACAUAUUAUGUAAUGGUUAAGACCGUGUCAUAAAGUGCUAUGAUGCUGGAUGUCAAGUAAAGUGUUACCCAAAUUGUACUGGGUCUAGGGUGUCAGGUACUUACUGACUUUAUUGUCCCCAUGGGGAAAUUUUGUUGCAGUGUCAUGUACACAUUUAAAGUGGCUUUAAAUACAAAACAAACUGACAAUGCAACUUUCAUAACAGUUACAUACCAAUAAAAAGAUACUAGCCUGCUGGUCGGUAGGAACAUUAGCCUGAGCUAUUUAGGAGGGAUAUCACACCUGGCACAAAUUAUUGUCUAGUUCUGUUUUUCCUGCAGAGGGGUGCCCUAUACCUGCGCCCAGAGGUGAGUAGUUCAAAGUCCGGUUACAGGGGGUGGCUUGGGUCUAAAAUGUUUUUGCCUUGCGGUGGGCCCUGACCUUAAAGAUCUCAUCCAGGCCUGUCUGUUUGACUCCAAGUACCUUGCUUGCUGUGGUGAUAAUCCUUCUCAGCAUAUUUCUCUGGCUGACAGUGGUAUUGCCAAACCAACAAACAAUACAAAAAGUUAAAAUACUCUCAAUGAAAGAUUUGUAAAACAGAGUCAGUAUGGUACAGUCAACAUUAAAAGAUCCCAGCUUUUUGAGAAAGUACAGUCUCUGUUGACUCUUUUUGUAGAUCAGAUCUGUACAUUUACACCACUGAAACUUGUCCAAGGGGACACCCAGAUAUUUGUAUUCCCCUACAAUCUCUAUGUUCUGACCUCUGAUAGAUGUUGCAGAGGUAGGUGUUGUACGCUUUCUGAAAUCUAUGCACAUCUCUUUGGUAUUAGUGGUAUUGAAGACAAAGUGUGAUUCGUCACAACACUCUACAAAGUCAUUUAGGACCCGGCCAUGGUGUUCCUCGUUAUCAUGCAACAGGCUGAUCAAGGCAGUGUCAUCAGCAAACUUAACGAGGUGUCUGUCAGGAUGGGAACUAGUACAACUAUUAGUGUACAAGAUGUACAGGAGUGGGGACAAAACAGAUCCCUGAGGAGAGCCUGAGUUGGUGCGCAUGUCUGCCACGUGGGGACCUACUUUGACCCGCUGUGAUCGCUGGCUCAGGAUGUCCAACAACCACAAGUCCAUCUAAGGAGAAGUCCUAAAUGAGUCUCUGUGCCAGAAUGUAAGGCUGGAUUGUGUUGAAGGCAGAAGAAGGUGGAGGUGAUAUGAUCCAUAACUAACCUCUCAAAGCACUUCAUGAUGACAGAAGUGAGUCCUUGUGUUUUAAACUGUGAUUUUGUCUAUUAAGAGAGCGUGGCCAGUUUUAUGAUCGUAACACUUUAGUCUGUUAAGACCUUUCAUAUUGAUUGAAUAUUGUGUUGUUUGCUGUGUUGCACUGAAAAUAAGUUUGCUGUAAUUACACUUAAUAUUUGUUGUGUUUUGUUUACAGGCCUUUGUAGAACUGUACAAAUUCAAGUUGUAAUAAAAUCUAUAAAUGUUGUGAUAAUCCUGUGUUGCUUCCAUACCAGUAUCCAGUUGAGGUAUUUAUGACCCAGGCCUAUCCUAGAACAUGUUUGUUAUAAAUCUACCAAUAGUAGGCCUAUAUCUGCUCUUUUACUUGUAGCGUACAUUGGACUUUCAAGUGGAGUUGAUUGCCUUAAGGACAUAAGCAGGGUUUGGGUCAAUACCAAUUUAAUUUGAAAUUCCAAUUCAAUUCUUGAAUUCACUCAUAAAGUGGAGAAUUUACAUUGAAUUCAAUUUGAAUUCCAACAAUCUUCAAGUUAUGGAAUUGGAAUUGGAUUUAGACUAUUUGCACUGAUGGAACUGGAAUUAUAAAAACAUUUGAUCUUUGGAAUUGAAUUGGAUUUCAAGUCAAUAUUUGUAAAUUUCCCAGUUAAUGGAAUUAAUGCACUUAGUAUCAAACAUUUACUGAAGGAGGUGUUUUAAAUAAUGUAUAUUUCCAUUACAGUAAGACUGUCUGAACAGUGACAUAAUCAGCCUGAAAGCCUGAGGGAAUUUAAGUUGUGGAAUUGUUUUGGAUAAUAUUUAAUUGUGAAUUGAAUUAUUGAAAUGUAGUUACCUUGGAAUUGAGAGGGAUUAAAUUAUCUCUGAAUUCAAAGGCUGACCUGGAAUUUGAAUUGAAUUUCAUGGAAUUCACAGAGGGAAUUGAACUAGAAUUGAAUUAGUGGAAUUAACCCCAACCCUUGAUAUAGCUGACAUUUAGGUGUUAGUAUUUAAUCAAUUAAUGAUCAAUAACAGAUAAUCUUCAUUACAUGAAUUAAUGUGUAAUUGCAGUUUUAGCACAAAACGUGAAAAUCAGGAUGAGUCUCUGUCCUUUAAUUAAUAUGCUAUCAAAACUUGCUUCGUGACCCAUAUUUCUACAAGCAUUACCCUAAUAUAAUCAUAUGUAUCUGUUAUCCCUUUGACUCCUAGUCAACCAAACAAUUUCACUGUAAAACUUCCAGCAACUUCAACUUCAACCAGGUAGCCAGGCGGUUAAGCGCGUUGGAACAGUAAACGAAAGGUAGCUGGUGGAAAAAUCUGCAUUUCCGCGCUUGAGCAAGGCAUUAACCCCAAACAUCUGUUCCCAGGACCCCCGAUGACUUGGACGUCGAUAAAGCGUCGAGUUCGAAUUAAUACAAUGCAUCACGUCCCCUAAUUUAGAUGUCAGAUGAUGAGCUAUGCAUGUACCAUGCGAAGGGCCUCGAGCAGUCGAGAACAGCUACAACAUUUGGCAUUUCGUAGAGUGAACAAACCUCCGCUGCUACUGCUCUUGGAUGCAGCCCCGUUGAGAACCUGCGUGUUGCUUAGCAACAAUGUGACACGGUAGUUUACGCAACCAUUCAAGGCGGAAUAGAAUCUUAUGGGACAUUAUUGUAUUUUAUGUAGCUGCUAGCUAGCUAGUCAGAAAAUAAACUUUGUUGAACAUUUCGCAGGAUAUAUUGUUGACGGUAAAAGUAGCUGUGGUAGCUACAGUAGCGUCUGAGGACGUUAACAUGUAAAAAAGAAAAGAAAAAGAAAACGAGGAUAUAUCCAUUCUGGGAACAAGUAAAUUUAUAGCCAACUUAACUCUCUCCAGUCCAGGCUAAAUUAAUCACGCUUUUACCUUCCUUUAUGCCACAUGACACACACCUAGCCAGCUAAAAUGACAUUUUGCCAUUAGUUUACACAGUGGCAAGAUGUAGUAGGUACCAAAUAAGUGAUUUAAUUUCACUAACAUACUGCUACUGCCUUAAAUUGAACCACUUAGAUUUCCAUCCAGGGAAGGGGGGCCUAGUUUACUAGGUUUUAAUUAUAUUUUGCACGAAAUACCCCUCCCCACGCACACAUACCUGAACACUUGAAAAGCAGUUGAAACAGAACAGAGAUAGGUGGUAGCAUUUUUCUACUAUGGUUAUACUCAUCACACGUUGACUUGCACCCAGACAAUGAGACAGGUUGGCACAACACCACCGGUGUAAUGUACCGUAUCAAAUUACAGACCAUGACAAAAGGUCCAGGAACUCCACAAUACUUCUGAGCUAAUAUUCUGCGGUGCAUCCCAACAAGUAGAUCAUUUGAUGUGUCAAUACUCAGUUCCGAUCAGGCAGAUCUUCAAGCAGUGUGCCCCAGCAGACGUCACAGUUGUGCCCUGGUUAACACCCCCUCACUGUGUGCCAACAAAGCUGUUUGCCAUAUUCAGGAGCUGAAGAGGCAACUGGAGAACUGGUGUCAACAGUCAGGAAAUGUUCAGCAUCAGAUGUCUCAUGAAAAACAGCAAAAUAGCAAAACUUUUAGAUUUCAUUCCAGUGAAUCCAAGUCUUCAAUUAUGUCUACAGAGUUAUACAUUGAAGACAUUGGGCUAAGUGCAUGAACCGAAAGAAAAGCUGAUCGCCAGGAUGCAGAGGAAGCUCUACAAACAGAGAAGAAGAGGAGGUGAACUUUUGGGAGAAAAAUGAAUACUAUUUCACUGUGGAAGCAGCCGUCCAGAAAGAUUGUAGAGUUGAAAAUAUGAAUCGAGGUAGAAGGUAGAACAUUUUCACAAUUAAAGGAAGGGAUUUCAGAGCUGCAGAAAGAAGUCCAUGCAACUAGACUUGCAGGUGAAGUGGCAGUCUCUCACACCGAGGAGGUGUUCCGUAAAAGAAACAUCAGGAUACCUUGAAUCUUCAUGAGGAAAACAAAGAGUAUGAACUGGAGAUUGAGGACUACAGCAAAAAUAUCUAUGAGAGCGAAGCAGCUUCAGAGGAGCAGGAAGCACAUGCAGCAGAAGUUCAGUGUGAACGAGGACCAGAGACAGAGGCUAAGGAGGAGCUGUCCCAGAUGGCUAUGUUGCACGCCAAGGUCAACUUGGAGGAGCUGGAGCAGAAGACCUUCAUGGUGGAGCAGAGGAUGAGAUAUCUCCUCAGAAAGUGACUGAGAAUCUGAAGAAAGACGAGCGAGUUGAAAGCCCUGGCCAUUCUGAAGGAUAAAAUAACAACUAUUGAAGCAGAAUUACACCAGGAGCAAACCAACACAGAAAACGCCAGAUGGGAACUUCAUAAGGAAUUUGAGGAGGCGUUAUCAGCUACAAAACAACUGGAAAUUGAAACGGAAAAACUGAGAAAGAUUUACAAUGAUAAAUCUGAAGGAAUUACAUCAAGCUGUUACCGAAGGGUUUAACCAUGCCUUGAGUAGAAUCAUCGCAGACCUCUGUGCUAAGUCCAAAGAGUACAGAACAGGGUCUGACAUGGAGAAAACCACAGCCGCUAUGCCAGAUGUCAUUGAAGAACUACAGUUCGUCUUUGAUGCCGUGGAGUUCCAAAACCAAACAGCUAUGUUGAUCAUGAACACCUUGGAACGUGAUAUCACCAACUGUCAACAACGGAUGGAGCCAACAGUGGAAACUCAUACUACUCUGUUCGCAACCAGACAGCAGAAAAAACCAAGCUUUCUUUGUUGCAGAAGAGGAUGCACAGAGCUGUGGUGAAAUACUUCAGACAACGCAGCCUCUACAGCCUGGAUGAACUGGCCCGCUUCCAGAACCUCUCUAACGAGAACAACCAGAAAAUAAUAACCAUCCAGGAGGAGUUGUCAGAAGCAAUCCAGCGCAUCUCUGCUUUCCUGUAGUCAGUGGCAGAUGACUCAACUACAGCAACAGUGAUCAUGCUGCGACAAUAGAGACAGCAGCAGAGAACAAACAAGCGGGUCCGGAUGCCAUUGGAUUGAACAAGAAGAAGAUGCCUACAGUUCAGAUAACAGCGUAAUUGGACAUUCACCUGGUCCCAGACAACUUACUUACCCCUGUACGCUUCACUAACUCACUAUGCCCCCUCUCUCUCUCUUACCAGCAGCAGAUCCAUAACAAUGAAACAGGUGACUUUCAUGCUGCUGUCAGGACUGAUCUAAUUUUAGCUGGGUGAAUGAUUGCAAUUGGCUUUGCCUCAUCAGAUAAUUAAUCUAUGUCACCAUUAAUUGGAAAAGAGAAUAAUUACAGGCAGUGUUGACAGAAACUCUACGCUUCUCCAGAUUUCGAGAUCUAAUUACGACUACUAAAACCCUCCGUGACCUUAACUAGCACUUAGUACAUCACCUCGACCACCCUGACCAAUGCCGAAGCAAAACAACUUCCUCUCGGUAGACAUUAAGCCCUGUUUUUGUUGUUUAAUUUUUUUUCUCCCUCUCUCUUUUCUCUCUCACUGUGCUCUCCUAGAAAGCUGUCUCCCUCAAUCACUUUUCAAUGUUCAAUCUUAAUUUUGUGGAAGUUUAGCAUUUUCAAUGAGCUGGAUAUGAAUGAUUAAUGAAUACAUUUAAAUGCUUCAUUUUGUCCAUGGAUCAUUAGUUAAGUCCUUUGUGUGAAGGACCUGAGAAAGGAGUCAAAAUUAUUGAGACAUUAGCCUGGAGCAAUCUAGGGGUAAAUAGUGUGCACAUUAUAAAAUAAUGUUGUGUAGCGGGUGCAGUAUCCUACUGGCUUUCUAACUGAAGAACCCCCAGGUAACGCUGCUUUCAAUUUAGGCUGAAUCUCACAUAGUAUUUAUUUGGAGGAGAAAAUGUAUUAUUUCAUCAAGCAUAGGCCUACUAAUGAUGUG
rnacentral:lncRNA from 1 species